AUCUGAGCUUCCCAAGUGGAACUAUGAUGGUUCAAGCACGGUACAAACACCAGGACAAGACAGUGAAGUAAUCUUAUACCCUCAAGCAAUAUUUAGGGAUCCAUUUCGUGGUGGUAACAAUAUCUUGGUAAUCUGUGACGCUUACACACCUGCUAAAGAACCAAUCCCAGCUAAUAAACGACACAAAGCUGCCGAAAUUUUCAACAACCAAUUUCCCAGCACUGAUGAUUUAUUUCCUAAUUACAUCUGCAAGAAGAGUUUCUCUUUAAAGACGACCCCUUUCCUAUUGCAUAUUCAGGGCGCCUCUUUUAUAGAACCACAAAUUAUUUGAC